rnacentral:tRNA from 1 species
GAUCACGUAGUCCAGAGGCCGAAGACGCCGCAUGCAGUAGGGAUCGAGUCCCGCCCUUCGGGGCAAGUGGCCACGCCUGCCGUAACGCCGGUUCGAAUCCGGCCGUGAUCA